rnacentral:rRNA from 1 species
CCUACGGGUGGCAGCAGUGGGGAAUAUUGGUCAAUGGAGGAAACUCUGAACCAGCAACGCCGCGUGAAUGAUGAAGGUCUUCGGAUUGUAAAGUUCUUUUCUCAGGGAAGAAGAAAGUGACGGUACCUUAGGAAUAAGCCUCGGCGAACUUCGUGCCAGCAGCCGCGGUAAUACGUAGGCGGCGAGCGUUAUCCGGAAGGACUGGGCGUAAAGGGUGCGUAGGUGGUUGGACAAGUUGGUAGCGUAACUCAGCGGCUCAACCGCGGCACUUCGACCGAAACUGUCGGACUUGAGUGAAGGAGAGGCAAGUGGAAUUCCUAGUGUAGCGGUGGAAUGCGCAGAUAUUAGGAGGAACACCGGUGGCGAAGGCGAAUUGCUGGACUGUAACUGACACUGAGGCACGAAAGCGUGGGGAGCAAACAGGAUUAGAUACCCGUGUAGUC